ensembl:lncRNA
AUGUUUUUUGGUGAAAUUGGUUCGAGGGCCUCUCUCUCUAUCCCCCUCUCUCCCUCUCCCCCACUCUCUCUCUCUGCCACCCCCCCUCUCUCUCUGCCACCCUCUCUCUCUCUCUGCCACCCUCUCUCUCUCUCUCUCUCCCCCCUCUCUCUCUCUCUCCCCCCUCUCUCAGUCUCUCUCAGGGGUCUGACUGUAGUGAUUUGUUCUGUCAUACCUGUAAUCAGUACUUCAGCUCUCUGCACAACAAGAAAGAACACCUUCUGGGCAAACAACAUCUGCAGGCCCUCACAGAGGAGUUUGAGAAGGACACAGGCAGCCAACAGCAGGCUCCAGAGAUGGAGAGAGGUCCUGUGGAGGAGGAAGAGGAGGAGGAGGAUGAUGAAGAGGAGGCAGAGUUGGCUCGUACGUGGGGUCUGUCCUCGCUGGACCUCAGUGUGCUGCAGGAGCUGCUGCUCAGACACAUGAAGCGUAAGAGCUACUGACCAGCACUGACCACAUUUACAACUUUGACACAAACAGUGUGCUGGCCUGUCAGCUCCACACCCUCACUCUGCAACCACUGCUGUUCCACACAGACAGAGGUGACAGAGAGAAAGAGAGGGACAUGACAGAUGGAGGGAAAUAAAAAGAGAGAGACCAAAAGAGUGGGAGAGAGCGAGACAGGAAAGAGGGCAGCAGUUCUAUAAAUGAAACCUGAUUAGUAGAUUACUGCAUCCAGUUGGAGGGGAUGUGGGUGUUUACAGCUCGGGCACUUUCCAUUCACACUCUGUGACACAAACACACUUUCUGUGUAGUACCUUUGCUCUUGUGUUUCUGAAUGCACACACACGCCCACACAUGUUUGGUAUUACUGUGCUUUGUGGGGACCUACACAUUUUUUUCCCAUUCAAAAUCUGAUUUUCCUUAACCCUCAAACCUAACAUUAACCCUAACCUUAACCCUAACCCUAAUUCUAACCCUUACCCUAAAAUAGCCUUUGUCCUCUUGGGGACUUGGGAAAUGUCCCCACGUGGGAGAAUGUUCCUUGUUUAACUAUCCUUGUGGGGAUUUCCGGUACCCACGAGGAUAGUAAUAUAAGUACACACACACACACACACACACACACACACAAACACAUGUUCCCAUGGAUUGGGUAAUAAACUCAAGCCGGAGGUUUGGAAUAAUUUGCUUGUUAUGAGGCCAAUCCCUUUCAUUGUGCUAAUCUCUAUCAGGGUGUUAGGUCUUCGCCCAGCCAGGACAGGGAGGGUUACAGAUGGAGAACAGCGGGACUGGAGCUAGCAUCAGUUACUUAGUGGUUCAUGGUCGAGAUCACAGUAGUGUUUUGUUCCAGACAAUAGACUUUCUGACCCUCCUAUCAGCUCUAUCAUCCUUUCCUUGUCCCCGUCAGGUGGUGACUGGUUUAAAACGAUAGUACAGGGUCCAGCCUCAUGUUAGGUAUUCACUGUAUUGAUGUCAGCAAUUAUACAGUUAAUUCAAAUCAGGGAUCAGGAAGGAAUGGCGAUUAAGAAAAAGAGAGAUGCCGACUAUGGUAACAGAAAUACGAUUUGUAUUCAAUAGAAAGAGUUACAGUAUUUACAGAACUGACGCAGCCCUGUCUCUAGGUAACAGGCUUCUGCAGAAACAGGCUCUGCCCAUCGCUGCCCUGACGAAUUGAUGAGCAGAGCCGCACAGGAAGAAGGGAACCUCAGGUAACCAUAGCAACCAGCCAGGGGUCGUGUGAGAACGGACAGUGACUGAGUAGAUUAACAUCUGUAUGUGUCAGCAACAUAAUGAAUGUGGCCCUAGUAUCCACUACUUUGUAGGGAAGGGAGCAGUUUUUUAGAAUGGAACCAAGCCUGAGUACCACAGCGUCAUAUUGACAGGAGUGGUAACUUGUGACUGGGAUGCUGCUGUGAUAAUGAGGAUAGAUAGAAUUUACAUGGUGUUUUUCCAAGAGCUUUACAAUGUAACAGGAAGCCCAGCUCAGCCAGUGUGCUCAUGUGUGAUGUAGCUCCCUGCUAGAUUGCAGUUUGGAGUGUGACUGUUUGAGGUUGUGGACAGGUGUCUUUUAUACUGAUAACAAGUUCAAACAGGUGCCAUUAAUACAGGCAACGAGUGGAGGACAGAGGAGCCUCUUAAAGAAGAAGUUACAGGUCUGUGAGAGUCAGAAAUCUUGCUUGUUUGUAGGUGACCAAAUACUUAUUUUCCACCAUAAUUUGCAAAUACAUUUAUUAAAAAUCCUACAAUGUGAUUUUCUGGAUUUAUUUCUUCUCAUUUUGUCUGUUAUAGUUGAAGUGUACCUAAUGAUGAAAAUUACAGGCCUCUCUCAUCUUUUUAAGUGGGAGAACUUGCACAAUUGGUGGCUGACUAAAUACUUUUUUGCCCCACUGUAUGUAAACUUCCGACUUCAACUGUACAUAUGAAGCAUUACAUCAAUACUGGCAGGCUGCGACAGGGUGGAACUUGGUUUAACAUUUGGAAAGGAGGUGAUAUUUCAGAGCCUGUACUGUACUGUGAACAUUGACUUGGGGGAGAGAUAGGGGUCCAGGAGAUGAUGUGUGUUUGGGGGGAAGGGAAAUGGAAAGUGGAUGAGAGGUGGGAAGGUAUCAGUAGCUUUACUUGAUUAUCUAAAUCUCCAUGUAACUCAAUCUCUCUCAGGUCCCAUCUGAGCACUUUGGACUGUCGCUAAAGAAGCUGGUUUCUAAUUAGUUUAAAGCAUUAAUGCUCAUGAAUAUGUUAAGCUGAUAACGUCACACACUCAUGAAUAUGUUGAAAUCUUAAGCUGGUUAUGUAAAGUGAAUUAAGACAGAGGCUUGUUUCUACACUCAGCUCCUUUUAGCACAGACAUAGAAAUAGAACCAACAGUGUGUAGAUCAGCAGCUGUGUUUUUACACUCAGCUCCUCUUAGCACAGCCAUAGAAAUAGAACCGACAGUGUGUCGAUCAGCAGCGGGGUUUCUACACGCUCAUCUCAUUCCACAACACACAAGAUGAAAAGGGUUAGGCUUGAAAUUGUUACGGUGCGUGAAUGAGGACCCAAAAGCGAAUUAACGUAAACAGAGCUUCUUUAAUAACAAAACAAAACGUAGGCUCAGAUGGACCGGCAGGUUCCGACAGGACAGGACAAGGUUGCAGCAAACAUGACGAUAGUCUGGUUCAGGCAUGAACAACACAAACAAGAAUCCGACAAGGACAGGAGCAGGAACAGAGAGAGAUAUAGAGACCUAAUCAGAGGGAAAAAGGGAACAGGUGGGAAAAGGGGUGACGAGGUAGUUAGGAGGAGACAAGGCACAGCUGGGGAAAAGAGGGGGAGAAAAGGUAACCUAACAACGACCAGCAGAGGGAGACAGGGUGAAGGGAAA